UGGCCGUUCUUAGUUCUGGAGUGAUCUGUCUGCUUAAUUGCGUUUCACUAGGGCCCAUAAAUUCAAGGUAUGUUAGCUAUCGUCGCUCUAUGGACCCCUUAACCGAGUUAAAUCGAGUUAAGCGCGCGUCUUUAUUUAAAGAGUUUAAGACAUUGCGCAUGCUGUUGGGCUCUGAAAGCAACGAACGUGACCGCAACGUCUUGUUGCCUUAAUAAAGUUGUGUUAAUAGCAUUCAAUUGCUAUUAAUAACCGCUUACAGAGGCUAUUUAAAACUAGACGGACCGCUGUUUCUUUUCUUAAACCAGAGGAAGGUUGCGGCAAUAACAGG
rnacentral:rRNA from 1 species